AAUUAUGGAGGUACUGAUUUCAUCAUUAUCUGUGAGCAGUAAAUGUUCUUGGUCUUUUUUAAAAUGUAUUUAUUUUACCUUCACUUUUGAAUGAGAGCUUAGCUGGGUUUUGAAUUCUGGGUUCAUGGUUAUUUUUGUACAGCACUUUGAGAUUUCUUCUUUGUCUUUGAAUUUCUAAAGUUUUGUUAUAUUAUGGCUAGUUUGGGGUUUAGUGUAUUUUCUCUAAACUCACUAUGAUUCUUCAACUUCAGGAUUCAAGUCUUUUAGUCAUUUAUGGAAAAAUUUCAGCCAUUAUCUUUUCAAAGAUUGCCUCUGCCCCAUUUUAUGUUGGGCUUCCUUAUUCCAUCUUCCGUAUCUCUUAAUCUUUCAUAUUUUCCAGAUCUGUUUGUCUUUGUGCCUUCUGAAUAAUUUCCUCAAAUCUGUUUUCCAGUUUAUAAAUUUUCUUGCUAUAUCUAAUUGUUAUUUAACUCAUCCAUUUACAUUUUUAAUUUUCUUGAUAUCUCCCUAUGCUAAUGGAUGGAUUUUUACCUAAAUCCUACUCUUUCACACAGGGUAUAGGCCUUUAAGGUUGUAACUUUUAUGCAGUGUUCCUAUUUCUAAUUCCUUGCUCACUUGGGCCCAAUGCCCACCUUAUAUCCCCACAUGCACAUGAAAUUCCAAGUCCUUAGGUGAAUAGAUCAAUAAUAAACCCUCUAUCACUAUAAUGUAGCCACAUGAUGAGCUGACACUUUGAAAUUUUAUUCUGUUUUCAAUUACCUCUUUGCUUCUCGUGCCUGAGGAUUUCUCUUUCUUUCCUGAGAGCUUGGCUUUGAAUAUAAAACAUUUUAAAAUUUAUAUUUUAUUCAGCAUUUCUAGGUUUUUAUAGUGAGCUUUAUCUUAGUCUACAUUUUUCUAAAACAGAAUGCCUUGAUUAAUACUAUAAUAAUAAGAAAAAAAAACCCUCAUUAUUAGUUUCAAAAAUAGACCAGUUGGUGUUGUUUGGGGACCGAGACUCAAACAACAGAAGCCAGAAAGGUUGGCUGUCCAUGUUUUGAAGUAUGUUGAUCAGUGGAUACCAAAGCUAUCCUAUAUCUGCAUCUUUGUGGCCACAUAAUCUGCCAUCAAUGAGCAAUUACAUGAUGGGUUUACUGGAAGUCCUUGUGAAGUAGCUUAUCAUAGUGAGUAUCAGAAUUUUGAGUUCUAACCAUGGCUCUACCACUGACUUGAAAGGUCAGGGUAGCCAAGGCCUAAUUAAUUCAUUUAGUAACUUGUAAUCUUAAUUAAUUAAUUAAUUAAUCAAUCAUAUUUUAUUAAUAUGAUAAAACAAUUGUCAAGCACCUAUUAAGCCAAAUCCUGGAGAUACAGAAGAGAAACAGAUAAAAAUUGCUGUUCACAGUCCAGUAGUAGGAUACUAGCUUUGGAAUCAUCUAUCAUAUAAUAGAAGUUUGGAUGGUUAUUGUUAAGGUACAAAGGGCAAAGUGGCCAGUUGAAUCUUGAUGGCAGGUUAUAAUCAAAAAAUUUCUGAGAGUAAGAAAUAAGAGAAUUAGAGGCAUAAAACCUUACAGUAAGAGAUUUGUAGAAGGAUAUUUAAGGAGUGCAGACUCCUUAAUGAGGGUCCUCAAUGCUUUUGGUGGAAUGGAUACAAACGUACAGAAUUUUGUAUUCUUUCCCAGGUAUCCUUAGCCUUACAGCAAUAUCUGCAAAAUGUUUGAGAUUGCUGAAGAGCAACCCUACAGGGCCCAUGAGGUCUUGCCCUUCUCUAACCAUUCAAUAAAUAGCACUCAGUGGAGAUCCUGGCUGAGGAUACUUGUUUUCAAAACAACAAUCCUGAGCCAACCUACUUAAGUAGUUCCAUAUGUUUCUAUGGAGACUUUAUAGAUUGUGGCCUUCAGAAUUCUUUUGUUUAUCACCGGGAAUCCAAGUCCUGAAAGCAGCUAACUAACCAUGAGGUUUGCUGGUUAUACAAGCUGUUGGACCUCUUAAGGACUUUGACAUAAAGACCACUUUCUGUGGAAUAAGAAUUAGUGGUUUAAAAAGAGUGCACUUAACAGUAUCAUACAAAACAGAAAUGGAACAUGGAGAUACAAGCAAAUGAAAAAAGCCCAGUUCUGUAAGGAGAAAGAUAUACUACUGUGGAGAACAUGAGGACAUCCAAGUACAGGUACAGGAGUAGGACAGGAUACCACUGUUGGCUACAGUCUGGCUUUACCACUUUCACUAGCCAAUCCAGGCUAAGGGAAGAAACAAAAUGGCACCAUGAGGAAGGUGAGCAAAAGGAAAAGGAUUAAACUCUUCACAUUUUAGGCUACCAGGGAUGUCUCAAAUGAUCCCAUGAAAUACAAAUCACUUCAAGUCACCUGAAAAAAAUUAAAGAAUUUUGGAAAAUGAGCAAUUUACAUAGAAGCUAAGAAUUGAAGCAAGGAUCUGGAUUCCUCUCAAAAAUCAUUUUUAAAAAAUUGUGUCCAGAAUUAGCCCAGUCAUUGCUUCCGUUCUCAGCUUUUCUCAAGCUGUAGAAACAGAGCCAAACUUAGUUCCUUCAGGUUUCUUGUUGGCUGCCAAAUGAUGAGGCCCUUCAUCUCCUCCCUGGUGUUGCAAUCCUUUCUCUGCGAUUGCCUCAUCCACCACCUGCCUCACGCCAACACUUUGCCUACUAUUUUCUUUUCUGUCCCUCCUUCCCGUGUGGCCACUUGGCCAGCUCACCAGCAGUGGAUUGGCCAGGAGCAGUGGGCUGUCAUGUGACCAAAUCCAAACUGCUGUGAAGCACCUAAGUCAGAGUUUUCCAUGACGCACCUGCUACGUUCACAUUGGCUUCCAAGUAAAUAAAUGGUCAAAUCGUUUCCAAAAGUGGUUUUGACAAAGAACAACUUAAACUGCCAAAGAUGUUGACACAUGGGCUGUUAUCUAGGAGAGUGAGUAAAGCAACCCAUUUGAACAACAAGAACAGAUAAGGCCCACCUCUUUGUCCCCUUGCCUUUUUACAUUGAUAUUCCUGUGGAGACAAAGGGAAAGAAGAAAAGGAAACAAAGGCAGAUCUUUAGCGCUGGCUGUCCCAGGGUUGAUUAGGAUGCUGAUCUGUGUGGCAGGUUUCUAGGUUCUCACCCAACUUCUUGGCUGCUAUUCAAAGGAUUUAACAGUGCGCUUUGUAAAUAGUAGUGUACAAAGCCAGUCUAAAAAUAGUACAUUUCCAGGGUCUGAAUUGGGUGAGUGGAAUGAGUGGCAAUGGCUGUAUUGUACAAGACAGAUUACAAGUGAGUUACUCGAUGGUACUUGAUAUGCAGGGUUAUUCACAUGCUUCAUCUGGUUUGGUUAAAUAAUGCAAACACAUUUACCAAUGUACAUGAUCGUUUUGUUUAUUUGUGCUCUGGAGAGCUUGUGUGUGUUUAUGACAGACAAAUGUACAUGUUCUAUUUUCUGACAAUCAAACAAAGCUCUCCCAGAUGAGGUAAAUAGCUGAGUUAAAUAGUGGAGCCGACACUCCUGAGAAUCGCUGAUGUGACACUAUGGUGGUUGUUAAUGACAGGUUUCCUGCUGCGCUUGCUGCCCUAAAGGAUUUUUGCUGAAGGUGGGAAUCAACCAGAGUCUCUGACAACUACUGGGACUGCUAGGUCUGGCUGAAAUCUCUCUUGAAACUAUGUGUGUGAAGGCUUAUGCCUCACUAGAAAUUUUUCACUGUGACAGCAACUGGGCUUGUUCUUCCUCCCUCUCGCUCCUGAGGCUGGGCUUUGUGGACAGCGAAGGUGAGGGGCUCCUCCUUAGACCAGAGCAGACAUUGCAGAUGACAACUCUGGAAGCCAGGGUCACAGAAGACCCGGUUCAGGGAAAAGUCUAAAGGAACUUUCAAUAGGAAUAUUACUUUCUGAAAUGAAGGUGCUGGGAAAGUGUUUUGCAAUCUUUUGAAAGGAAAAGCCACUCCUCUUAAUGUUUUCAGCCAUAAGUGGUGGUUAUUCCUAUAGACUUUGAGGAGAGAAAUUUUCUCAUAUCAAAAUACAAUAUAAUUAUUUCAUACAUAAAUAAUUAUCUUUCAGGCAGUUUGGAGGCUUUAUUAUUUAAUGCAAUGUGGAAACUCUUGGGUGAAGCCUUCAGUCAUUCUGGCAGGUUUGUUUCCAAAAAUUUUACACUAUGGAAACUGAGAAUGGGGACAGCUCUUGAAGAAAUUGGACUGGGGAUAUACAUUAUAGAGGAUUAAAAAAAAACAGCAUGUAACUUUGGGAAGUAUUUCUCCCGCCCAAAUUUUAUGCCUUUAAUUUCAUACAGUAAAUUGGGUCUGACGAUCUCAAGGAGCAUACAUGUUGGCACUCCUCUCUCUCCUCCUUAUGCUCUGUGACUUUAGGCAAGUUUCAUAAACUCUGACUCCCCAGUUUCCUCAUCUGUAAAACCGUGAGAACAGUGCCCACCUCAUUAAGUGUUGUGAGGAUUCAAUCAGGUAAUGUAAGUAAAGCCAUUAGCCCAUGGUAAUAAAUGAAACCAUGGUCAUCACAAUAGGAGGCAAUUAGCAUUCCUGGGCAUAGCUUCUUACCUGCCCAACAACAUCCUCGUCUUUCCAAAUGGCUAUCAUCUCACAGGCUGAGCAGUAUGCAAAUGUCUAAUUCCUUUUGAGAAUUACCACUGCCAUCAUUAUUAUUAUCCUGGUUGUUGAAGAAUGAACAGUUCAGAAAAUAUUAAAUCAGACUUUCCAUGACCUGUCAUUUCCUGCUUUAUCACCAUCUACAUGAUAAUGGUGGUUAAUUUCUCUUUAGAGGUAUCUUCGAAGAUAACAUAAAUCAUUAUUUUGGUUAUUCUGGAUUCUCUCAAUCUGGCUUUUAUUUCUUAUGCUGAAGAAUUAAGAUUUUUUUCAAUAAGGUAGAUAUUUGCUUACCUCCCCAAAGAGUCUGGGAAACAACAUAAAUUUCAUCUCUUUGAGCCUGAAUUUUCAAAUGAAUGAGAGAAUAUAACUGAACAGUCAUUUUGGUCUGGUGCACACCCUUGGGUGUGAGUAAAGUGAGCUCUGAAAGAGUCUGAUGUAGUUAUGCAGAAGUGAAGAGUCAGAUAACUUCCUGAAGAUCAUGGUCACAGCAAAAUCAUUUACCCACCAUGUUUGUAAAGUUAAGAAGGGCAUAUGAAGUAACACUGUAAGUGGACAAAUGAAAUUGUGCAAAACAAAAUGUAGACAGUACCUCUGCUGACAACAAUUUUCAGGAUUUGCUUUCAGUUUGCAGUGUUGUAAACUUAUUCCAGAAAGAAGGAUCACUGUUACUAUCACAACUUUUAAUGAUUAUCAUUCAAAGUUAACUAAGCUCCUAUAAGCAAAGUCUUUUCAGCCAAAUAUAUGAAAGUAUUGGAAUUCACCCAUUUAUAAAAUUCUCACAGCACUAUACUUAAAAAUCAUAUCAGAAAGACAAAGGAUUCUGAUAAUUGUCCAAGUUUUAGUUUUCAUUGGACCAACUGAAUUAAUUCCUUUGCUUUCUCUGCAGAGAGGGCACAGUCUUGCCUGUAAUGGGCUUUUUCUCAAAGGGAUAAAAUGUACUAACACAGCAACUAAAAGACUGAGACUUUCUUUUUCAAUUCAUUUGAGAUUGGUUUUGUUUUAUUGUAAGCCUAUCUACUAAUGUGCUGACUGAGUUCUAGGUAUUGAGAGGGAUUAAAAACUAUAUCUGUGUUCCUGGAUCUUGUUGGGGAAGAAAUUACUUUUAUCUAAAAACCACUCAAGACAAUGUCCCUAAGUAUCCAAUUACAUUUAAUCAGCUGCUAAAAUAAUGUCAGAGAUCACCAAGGCUGAGGAUAGUCAACCCCAGGGUAGGCUGGUGUGGCAGAGAAGCAGUAUUUGGUAAAGGUAGAUAAUGGUGGCUAUUAUAGGCUGAAUUGUGACACCCCAAAUUAAUAUUGGGGUGAAGUUCUAACCCUCCAAUAGUUAGAAAGUUACUGUAUUUGGAAAUAGGGUCUUUAAAGACCGUUAAGUUAAGAUGACGUCAUUAGGAUAGCCCCUAAUCCAAUAUGACUGGAGAUCCUUCUAAGAGGAUAUUAGGAAAGACCAUGUGAAGACAUAGGGUGAAGGUGACCAUCUACGACCUAAGAAGAGAGACCUCAGAAGAAACCAGCCCUGCCAACAUCUUGGCCUCAAGAAUUGCAAGAAAAUACAUUUCUGUUGUAUGAAUCUUUGGUACUUUUUUAUGGCAGCCCACAUAGACUAAUGCUAUGGCCUUGAAGCAAAAGUGAUAUUUGUUUAGGUAGAGAAAGGGGGCAUAUGGGUGCUAUACUUCUGUCUCUCCUGUUAUUCAAUAUCUACUUCUUAUUUGCAUUUUAUUUUCUUUGUUUAUCUCCUUGCUUCUACUAUUAGAGUUAGAAUGCUAGGAAUUGUGGGGACAAAGGAGAUGGGAAAGGAAUUGGGGAAAGAGAAAAGCAGAAGCACAGAAAGAAAGAGACUAUCUGAUACCUGAUACCACACUAAUGUUUUAGUAGAAGUCAUCAAAUAAGAAAAAACAACAAAAAGUAGCACUUAUAAAAGCAACGAGCAGUCUUAAGACUAAGGGAAGGCUUUAAGAAUAAGGAACUAGUAGUAUUUAACAAGAUUAUCAAAGAUCUGAAAUGUAUCUGUACUCAAUAAGGAAAUCUUUAUUGUUCAUUUGUGUCCUCUUGGUAAAUUCAACCUUUAUCUUCUGAAGAUAAAUUCCAAUAUUAUCAUUAUAGUUAUGACUUAUCUGAUAUUUAUAACAUCCCAAGUUUGCCUUCCUGCCACAUUAUUUUUGCACUGUUGAAAUAUACUUUUUUACAAUGGAUAUAAUAAUGUAAAUAUAAUAUGGAAGCAUUUAUAUCAAUAGCAAAGAUAUGGCUGGGCUAUUUAGUCAAAUACAACUUGCCACUCAAGUGAUUCUCAUUACUCAUUAAGUAUUUCCCACUAAUUUGGGGGUUUUCAAUUGGUUGAGAAACAUAGUAGAGACAAAUGACAACGGAUGAAGAUAAAAUGGUGCCUCAAAAUCUGGGAAAACCCUGAAACUCAUCUAAUAUAUUUUACCACCCAGACAUAAUUUGUUUUCAAUGGUGAUGUAAAGAAAUUUGUGCUCAAGUGACUACAUGUACACUGUUGUUUCUUAAGAGCUUAUGUUUGGUCUAAACUCCUGAAAGCAUACUUCAGUCUCAGUAGUGAAUCUAUAGAAAUAUGUUUCUUUCAUUACAAUUUUGCAAGUUGCGCUCAGGGAUGGGCAGGAAAUAGGGUAGUGGGAAGAAGGGGCAGUUGAUAGACCAUGCAACUCUUGAUCUUGGGGUUGUAAGUUGGAGCCCCAUGUUGGGUAUAGAGAUUACUUAAAAAUAAAAUCUUUAAAGAUAAAUAAAUAAAUACCUAUUAAGAAAGGUGUUUGGUGUGGAAAACAUUUCUCCCUUCAGAACUCUUUUUUGUUCUCCCUAGGCCCAAAAGUCCUGGGUACCUUCAGAGGUCCCUCCUAGGCCACGGCCUGUGGGCUUUCCAUAAGAGAUUCUUGUCUUGGGUUGUUUAUAGCCUCUCAGGGUCAUAUCAGGCCCUUCAUCAGCCCGCUGGCUCUGCCUUGCAUGCUCAUCCUUGUUGACCAUUUGGUCUAGAUCCAUGCUCUCCAUUUACUCUCUUGGUCUGAGUUCUUUGGCCUUCCUCAAUUCCUGGGCUGCCCUUACCCAGUGCCACUUUGACUAGCAUCCUAUAAUUAGGGGACAAUCUUCUCUACUCUAGUGCCCAGCCCUGAUUUCUAAAAUCCCAGUCUGAGCCCUCUGCUUUGCCAGGAGAAAAAGGUGAUCAUGUAAAACAUCUUGAGUGCUUUUCUUUGUCUGUCAAAAGCACAGUAUUCAGUUCAGUAAACAUUUAUUCUAUGAAAGGAAGGAAGGAAGGAGUAUUGGCUUUGUCCACAGUAGCUACACUUGGGAAUGUGGUCUGCGACAAUAGGAAAAAGCCAGCUAUGUUUCUGUAUGUUUCUAUGUUUUCUGUUCUUAGUAUUUUUUUCAACCAUUAGCCCUACCAGUACCUCCUAACCCACCUGCUUCCAUACAGAACACUUUUCUUCAUAGAAGGAUUGUUCCUGCCACCAUAUCACCAGAAACAAGGAAUUUUCCAAGGGUGGGCAGAUACAUUUCAGAGAACACAGCUAGAAGCCAAAUUUAGGAAGAACAAGGAAGGUCUAAAAAGUACACAGCUUUCCUUAUUUAUCUCAGUGGUGUUAUUAUUGCCAAAUACCAUGUUGAGCCUAUGAUUUCCAUCAGUAAUCAAAAAGUCCCAGAAUAAUCUGAGCAAUUGUUCUCAGCUCUUCUCUUAGAUGCAUCAUAUCUAGUAUAAGAUGAAGGAAAAAGAAAAACUAACACCCUCAUUAUGUGACAAAUAGCAAGGUAGGUACCUGUAGAAACAUUUUAGAACAUCUACCCAGCCUAUAGACUAUCCCCUCAGCUAUACCACUAACCACAGGUGAGCAUUUUUAGCCACAUUUGUGCUAUCCAGUCCUACUGCUCCCUCCCACUAUCCCCAGCUGCCAUAUACUCAUGCACAAUGAACUCCUGUUAUAAGGGAAGUAAUCAGACUCUUUGUGAGACUUUGGAAUUGGGAUUAUGGGAUUCCCAUUCCCUCUGUGUUGUCUUAGAAAGGGAUACAUAGACUCAAAAGCUAUGGACAGUCACAAUGUCAGCUCUGUUGACCUAGAAGAGAGAACAAAAGAGAUAUACAAAGAGAAGCUACAAUGGCUCCUGAUGACUUUUUAUGUCUUUUUUUUUUUAACUUUUAAAAUUUAUUUUGAGAGAGAGAAUGUGUGAGUGUGAGAUGGGGAGG